rnacentral:tRNA from 1 species
GUGCCUAUUGUGUAAUGGUUAGCACGGAAGCCUGUGGAGCUUCUAGUCUGGGUUCGAAUCCCAGUAGGCACC